CAGCCGCCGCGGUAAUACCGGCGGCCCGAGUGGCGGCCACUAUUAUUGGGCUUAAAGCGUCCGUAGCCGGGUUGGUUAGUCUCCCGGGAAAUCUGGCCGCUUAACGGUCAGAAUUCCGGGAGAUACUGCCAGCCUAGGGACCGGGAGAGGCCGAGGGUAUUCCCGGAGUAGGGGUGAAAUCCUAUAAUCCCGGGAGGACCACCUGUGGCGAAGGCGCUCGGCUGGAACGGGUCCGACGGUGAGGGACGAAGGCCAGGGGAGCAAACCGGAUUAGAUACCCGGGUAGUCCUGGCUGUAAACGAUGCGGACUUUGUGUCGGACAAGCUAAGGGCUUGUCCGGUGCCGCAGGGAAGCCGUUAAGUCCGCCGCCUGGGGAGUACGGCCGCAAGGCUGAAACUUAAAGGAAUUGGCGGG
rnacentral:rRNA from 1 species